rnacentral:lncRNA from 1 species
UUCGGAGGAUGGAGUGAACUUUUCUUAAUAAAAAUUAGGUUAAGAUGAAAACAUAAAAAGAUGAAGGUGUUGUAAACUAAACUAACAUGAAAAUAGGUUAAAAGAUGGAAAAAAAAGUUUCUCAAAGCUUUGGAUAGCCAUGCUUAACUCACUGUGUAAAAAUGGAGAUUUUGGGACUUUUCACCUCGAGUUGGGGAAGCAACUAAGGUGAUGCUUACUUCCCGAACCGGUAUGAUUUUAAC